rnacentral:lncRNA from 1 species
AUAGAAUAAAAUUUGGGAGGAAAUGGUUAAAACCUGAGAGGUAAGGGACUGAGUGGUAAUUUUAACCUUUUGGGCCUUAAGUUCGCCUUAGAUGGGCCAAUAGAGGUCUAAUUGAGCCUAGGAUUAUAAGCUAUUGAAAGGAUGAGGCACACAUGAAGUAAAGAUUGGUUAAGAACUCUCUAGAGUCAAGGGAAAAACGGCAAC